rnacentral:rRNA from 1 species
CGACAAGCGGAGGAGCAUGUGGUUUAAUUCGAUGAUACGCGAGGAACCUUACCUGGGCUCGAACGUAAGAUGACUGUAGGUGAAAGCUUACAUCUCUUCGGAGCAUUUUACGAGGUGCUGCAUGGUUGUCGUCAGCUCGUGCCGUGAGGUGUCGGGUUAAGUCCCAUAACGAGCGCAACCCCUACCUUUAGUUGCCAUCAGGUAAUGCUGGGGACUCUAAAGGAACUGCCUACGCAAGUAGUGAGGAAGGCGGGGAUGACGUCAAAUCAGCACGGCCCUUACGUCCAGGGCUACACACGUGCUACAAUGGCCGAUACAGAGGGCAGCUACCUGGUGACAGGAUGCAAAUCUCCAAAGUCGGUCUCAGUUCGGAUCGGAGUCUGCAACCCGACUCCGUGAAGUUGGAUUCGCUAGUAAUCGCGCAUCAGCCAUGGCGCGGUGAAUACGUUCCCGGGCCUU